AAUGAACGCUGGCGGCGUGCUUAACACAUGCAAGUCGCACGAGAACGCUUCAGCUUGCUGGAGCUAGUAAAGUGGCGCACGGGUGAGUAACGCGUGGGUAAUCUACCUCCGAAUUGGGGAUAACACUGCGAAAGCGGUGCUAAUACCGAAUGACAUCUCCGAGACCUCGGUCUCAGGGAUCAAAGGUGGCCUCUACUUGUAAGCUACCACUUAAGGAUGGUCCCGCGUCCCAUUAGCUAGUUGGUAGGGUAAUGGCCUACCAAGGCUACGAUGGGUAGCUGGUCUGAGAGGAUGGUCAGCCACACUGGGACUGAGAUACGGCCCAGACUCCUACGGGUGGCAG
rnacentral:rRNA from 1 species